AACAGACCUGGUUCAUCACUCUCAUGGGAACUUGGGAAGCAGUACAUGGCUCUGAGAUGAAGCCUUGACCUUUUCCAUUUGAAGGUGUCACCCAGGGAGCCUUCAGGAGAAGCAGAGGAGCUGCUGCAGUCACCAGGUUGUCGGCAUCCAAGCACAGCCAAAGUGUGCAGCCCAAGGAGCCAAGCAUUCUUAGGAGAAUGAUGCAACCAGAUGAAUUCCAUGGCAGAGUGCCCCAUCCCGGAUGAGUGGGUUCCCCUGAGAAGGAAGUAAAGCUGGAUAUUAGCAGUCAAGGUGGUCCACUUGUAUUAUGUCGAGAGCCCUUCAGCAACCGGUCAACAGACCCUGUUCAUCGCUCUCGUAGGAAUUCGGGAAGUUGUACACAUGGCUCUGUGAUGAAGCCUUGUUCUUUUCCAUUUGAAGGUGUCACCCGGGUAGCCUUCAGGAACAGCCAUGGUUUGUAAUUCUGAAUCAGGUGAGUGGAUCUCUAUGGCUUCAUAAUU
rnacentral:lncRNA from 1 species